UGGCUGAGUGGUAAAGCGCUUGGCUUCCGAACCGAGGGUCCCUGGUUCGAAUCCUGG
rfam:Biomphalaria glabrata isolate BB02 linkage group LG27 unlocalized genomic scaffold LG27_random_Scaffold64, whole genome shotgun sequence.